rnacentral:rRNA from 1 species
UACGGGAGGCAGCAGUAGGGAAUCUUCCACAAUGGACGCAAGUCUGAUGGAGCAACGCCGCGUGAGUGAAGAAGGUUUUCGGAUCGUAAAGCUCUGUUGUUGGUGAAGAAGGAUAGAGGUAGUAACUGGCCUUUAUUUGACGGUAAUCAACCAGAAAGUCACGGCUAACUACGUGCCAGCAGCCGCGGUAAUACGUAGGUGGCA